UAGGGAAUCUUCCACAAUGGACGCAAGUCUGAUGGAGCAACGCCGCGUGAGUGAAGAAGGCUUUCGGGUCGUAAAACUCUGUUAUUGAAGAAGAACGUGUGUGACAGUAACUGGUCAUGCAGUGACGGUAUUCAAUCAGAAAGUCACGGCUAACUACGUGCCAGCAGCCGCGGUAAUACGUAGGUGGCAAGCGUUGUCCGGAUUUAUUGGGCGUAAAGCGAGUGCAGGCGGUCUUUUAAGUCUGAUGUGAAAGCCUUCGGCUUAACCGAAGAAGGGCAUCGGAAACUGGGAGACUUGAGUGCAGAAGAGGAGAGUGGAACUCCAUGUGUAGCGGUGAAAUGCGUAGAUAUAUGGAAGAAACACCAGUGGCGAAGGCGGCUCUCUGGUCUGUAACUGACGCUGAGGCUCGAAAGCGUGGGGUAGCAAAACAGGAUUAGA
rnacentral:rRNA from 1 species